GACGAACGCUGGCGGCGUGCUUAACACAUGCAAGUCAAACGAAGAGCGAUGGAAGCUUGCUUCUAUCAAUCUUAGUGGCGAACGGGUGAGUAACGCGUAAUCAACCUGCCCUUCAGGGGGGGACAACAGUUGGAAACGACUGCUAAUACCGCAUACGAUCCAAUCUCGGCAUCGAGACUGGAUGAAAGGUGGCCUCUAUUUAUAAGCUAUCACUGAAGGAGGGGAUUGCGUCUGAUUAGCUAGUUGGAGGGGUAACGGCCCACCAAGGCGAUGAUCAGUAGCCGGUCUGAGAGGAUGAACGGCCACAUUGGGACUGAGACACGGCCCAGACUCCUACGGGAGGCAGCAGUGGGGAAUCUUCCGCAAUGGACGAAAGUCUGACGGAGCAACGCCGCGUGAGUGAUGACGGCCUUCGGGUUGUAAAGCUCUGUUAAUCGGGACGAAUGGUUCUUGUGCAAAU
rnacentral:rRNA from 1 species